GGAAAGGUGUCCGAGUGGUUUAAGGAGCACGCUUGGAAAGCGUGUAUGGGAGUAAUCUCAUCGAGGGUUCGAAUCCCUCUCUUUCCGCCA
rnacentral:tRNA from 1 species